rnacentral:rRNA from 1 species
UACGUAGGGUGCAAGCGUUGUCCGGAACUAUUGGGCGUAAAGAGCUCGUAGGUGGCCUGUCGCGUCGGCUGUGAAAACUCGGGGCUCAACUCUGAGCUUGCAGUCGAUACGGGCAGGCUAGAGUUCGGCAGGGGAGACUGGAAUUCCUGGUGUAGCGGUGAAAUGCGCAGAUAUCAGGAGGAACACCGGUGGCGAAGGCGGGUCUCUGGGCCGAAACUGACGCUGAGGAGCGAAAGCGUGGGGAGCAAACAGG